GACGAACGCUGGCGGCGUGCCUAAUACAUGCAAGUAGAACGCUGAAGCUUGGUGCUUGCACCGAGCGGAUGAGUUGCGAACGGGUGAGUAACGCGUAGGUAACCUGCCUGGUAGCGGGGGAUAACUAUUGGAAACGAUAGCUAAUACCGCAUAAAAUGGAUUAUCGCAUGAUAAUCCAUUGAAAGGUGCAAAUGCAUCACUACCAGAUGGACCUGCGUUGUAUUAGCUGGUUGGUGGGGUAACGGCUCACCAAGGCGACGAUACAUAGCCGACCUGAGAGGGUGAUCGGCCACACUGGGACUGAGACACGGCCCAGACUCCUACGGGAGGCAGCAGUAGGGAAUCUUCGGCAAUGGACGGAAGUCUGACCGAGCAACGCCGCGUGAGUGAAGAAGGUUUUCGGAUCGUAAAGCUCUGUUGUAAGAGAAGAACGAGUGUGAGAGUGGAAAGUUCACACUGUGACG
rnacentral:rRNA from 1 species